GGAGAGGUGCUGGAGUGGCUGAACAGGACAGAUUGCUAAUCUGUUGUACUGGGUAAACUGGUACCGGGGGUUCGAAUCCCCCCCUCUCCGCCA
rnacentral:tRNA from 1 species